UACACACAUGAUCUCUACUCUCUUAUAAAACAAGAGAAACCUGCUGAAUGUAGCGGAGAAAAAGUUAAACUUAAGUAUCGAUCCCAUCACGCUAGUAUCGAUUCGAUUCCAAUACCAAGCUUGGUAUCGAUAUUUGAAUCUAAACGCCCACCCCCAGCAUAAUGCAGCUCGACGGUUAUUUACUCUUAGAAAUGUAGUGGAGGAGAAACUGAGCAUACGAGUUCUGCAAUACAGGAGAGAUUAAAAUUAUCAUGGCAACCCUUUACUUUUCCUCUCCGUGUGGUAAAACGACUUAAAACCGAUGAGGAUAAGUUACCACAAACUUUGAAGAUUGGAACCAGGGUGACCAGGCUAAGGUUGAUGUCAACAGAAAUGAGACCACAAGAGGAAAGAGACCACUCUGUGCAGGCAGAAUCGAUCCCAGACGUCUUGGUCCACACCCUCUGGCAUGUUCUCUGGAGCAUCUAACUCCUCCAUGGCCUUCAUCAUCUGUGAGAGUCCUUCUGCUGCUGCUCGUCCCAACACAGGCUCAGUAGAUGGACUUAUGUAAUCUGUCUGGGUCCUUAUUCUUUGCACCCUAAAAACAACACCCAGACUUGUGACUCUGGAUUUAAUCAGUUAGGCUACUGUAGGUCAAAAAAUAAUACAAUAAAUAUAUACAAUCUGAAGUGACGUCACACAAGACCAAAAAGCUUGUAAUGUAGAAGUUCUAUUAAAAUACUUUACAAUGAUUUAAGAUAUUUUAGAGUACCUGGGUCUACGCUUGUAAAGCUUGUACAGUUGGUCAACAA